CCUGUCUCCUCAUUCUUUUUUUUUUUUUUGAGACGGAAUCUCACUCUGUCACCCAGGCUGGAGUGCAGUGGUGUGGUCUCAGCUCACUGCCAGCUCCGCCUCCCGGGUUCAUGCCAUUCUCCUGCCUCAGCCUCCCAAGUAGCUGGGACUACAGGUGCCCACCAACACACCUGACUAAUUUUUUGUAUUUUUAGUACAGACGGGGUUUCACCGUGUUAGCCAGGAUGGUCUUGAUCUCCUGACCUCGUGAUCCACCCGCCUCAGCCUCCCAAAGUGUUGGGAUUACAGGUGUGAGCCACCGCACCCGGCUACCUGUCUCCUCAUUCUUAAAAGAUGUAAACCCCUCCCAACACUGGAAGAGGAAACAGAGACCAGUGCGCUGUGCAGUCUCACUUAACUAGAAUGCACAACUCCUGCUUUUAUCACCAUUCUGGGAAAUCCCCGCUGCAUUUCAUGGCCAGGGCAGCACUUCAUAGUUGGAAAAGGAUGGUGUGGACUUGCCGCAGAGGCCCUAGAGAAGGCCAUCCUGUGUUCCUGCUCUCCUUCUCAUCCGGCUUCUACCCCCACCCCACCCCCCAACAAAAACGCUACAGGUUAUAAGAUCUACAUUCUGAACCUGGCUUUCAGGGGCUAGGUGUGUUGUGUGUUGCACAGCUCUAGAGGUAGCAUAGCCUUGAUCAUCGGGGUGGAGGUGUCUAUUUACUAUAUGUUGCAGCAGAUGGCAGUGAAGUGUCUUGAGGAAGAGGUGUUUUUAUCAUUUGAAGGUUAUGGGGUGUAAUAAUAAAGACUGCAAUUCACAGACCUUGAGCCUAGCAGGCCAAUGCCAAGGGCAGAACUGUAGGCUCCCACAGCACAGUUCCACAGAGGAAGGGGGCUGGUUAGUAAGGGGAAAGAAGGAUAGAAGACUGCAGUAAAUGUAAACAGCCGUAUUUUCAACAUAAUUUACUACAGGUCUCUGAAGUGUAUAUAAAAUGUUUUAGU
rnacentral:lncRNA from 1 species